AAGGAUCAUUAAUGAAAUUAUAAUCCGGCGAGGGAAAGGCGGGGAGUUGUAGCUGGCCCUAGGGCAUGUGCACGCUCUCUUCCGGACUUUCGCCGUAUGGGCGCGGGGCGACCCGCGUCUUCAUAUACCUCUUCGUGUAGAAAGUCUUUGAAUGUUAUUACCAUCAUCGAGUCGCGACUUCUAGGAGACGCGAUUCUUUGAGACAAAAGUUAUUACAACUUUCAGCAACGGAUCUCUUGGCUCUCGCAUCGAUGAAGAACGCAGCGAAUCGCGAUAUGUAAUGUGAAUUGCAGAUCUACAGUGAAUCAUCGAAUCUUUGAACGCACCUUGCGCUCCUCGGUGUUCCGAGGAGCAUGCCUGUUUGAGUGUCAGUAAAUUCUCAACCCCUCUCGAUUUGCUUCGAUAGGGUGCUUGGAUGUUGGGGGCUGCCGGAGACACUGGAUUCGUCCAGGACUCGGGCUCCUCUUAAAUGAAUCGGCUUGCGGUCGACUUUCGACUUUGCAUGACAAGGCCUUUGGCGUGAUAAUGAUCGCCGUUCGCCGAAGUGCAAGACAGAACGGUCCCGUGCCUCUAAUGCGUCGACGCCUCUCGGGGCCGUCUUCCUCAUUGACGUUUGACCUCAAAUCAGGUAGGACUACCCGCUGAACUUAAGCAUAUCAAUAC
rnacentral:rRNA from 1 species